AAUGCUUCAUCUUGAGUUCUUGAUAUUAAGGUGAGACAAAAACUUAUAAUAUAAGGGAAGGGCAUUAAGAAUUAUAGAUCAUAUUUAGCAUAACAUGAUGGAGACACAGCCCAGUUUAUUACCAUAUAUAUCAAGCAAGCAUUAGUAUUAACUUGGAUGCAAAUGCCAACUACAAUUGGUUAUACAUUACUAAUAGGAUGAACACAUAAGUAAGAAAGAAGGCUCAAGAUUCAAAAUACGUGCUUUCAUGCGCUUUGAAUCUGAUAUAUGAAGAUAGCUCAACUGCAUUGUCACUCUUUCUUCUCUUCCUUCUUCUCUUCCUUGGGAGCUUCAACCUUCUUCUCUGCCUUUGCUGCUUCCUUGGCUGUAGCCUGCACCUUGGCUUUGCCCUUCUUUGGCUUCAUGAAGCAGAAGCAAGAGCAGCAAGGACACUGAAAUAAGAACUUCAUAGCUUCACCUUCUUUGCUCUCAAGUAGCUAGUCCUGAGAAUUAUUUCUCAUGUAUAGCAAAUGUUGAACUUCACCUUCCUUUUCUAUCUACUUCCUUAUCUAACUAUUUAUGUUGUGUGCUUUAUCAAAACAAAUAUAAAAAUGUAACAAUACACACUGGAUUCCACUUCAAUCACUAUCAACAAGGAAGAUGCCUGCCUAAUAAUGCCAGAGCUAGCAGUGGGACUAGGGUCUGUGGGGUUAGCCAUGGAUCCAUGAUCAACAUAAGUUACAUAAUGCAGCUAACAGUCUAAUACUAAUAGGAACUGUUCUUGAUUGCUUUUUCUAACUCCACAGAUUCAUGAUCC
rnacentral:lncRNA from 1 species